GAGGGAUGAGUUAUUAAAUGGGUAAAACGUUGUAUAUAUAGAGAGAGGAAAAUGGAUGUGACAAUUUAAUAAUUCAUGCAUUAUUGAUCAGAUAUUCAAUUUAAUUUUAAGGUAGGGUGGGGUGAAGAGAGUGAACUUCGAAGCGGUUUCCCAGUGAAUGACUUUGGCAAAUAUUGUCAAAGAUCUAUGUAUCCAAUAAUCAAUUGAUGUAUAUUAUGAAACGGCUGGCAGUGAGUUGCAUUGCAUUGUAGUUCGAUUGUCUCUUCAGUACUACUAUUUGCUAUUAUUAUUAUUAUUAUUAUUAUUAUUGAUCGAUGUCAAUAUCAGAUGUAUUUGUC
rnacentral:lncRNA from 1 species